CUACUUACCUGGACGGGGUCAAUGGGUGAUCAAUAAGAUCCAUGGCCUAGGCUAGUGACUUCCAUUGCACUUAGGAAGGGUGCUAGUUUAAGGUCGGCUCAAGUGGUCGAGCCUAUGUCAUAAUUUGUGGUAGAGGGGGCCUGCGUCCGCGCGGCUCCUG